rnacentral:rRNA from 1 species
GACGAACGCUGGCGGCGUGCCUAAUACAUGCAAGUAGAACGCACAGUUUAUGCCGUCGCUUGCUACACCAUAAACUGUGAGUUGCGAACGGGUGAGUAACGCGUAGGUAACCUGCCUGGUAGCGGGGGAUAACUAUUGGAAACGAUAGCUAAUACCGCAUAAUAUUGAUUAUUGCAUGAUAAUUGAUUGAAAGAUGCUAUUGCAUCACUACCAGAUGGACCUGCGUUGUAUUAGCUAGUAGGUGAGGUAACGGCUCACCUAGGCGACGAUACAUAGCCGACCUGAGAGGGUGAUCGGCCACACUGGGACUGAGACACGGCCCAGACUCCUACGGGAGGCAGCAGUAGGGAAUCUUCGGCAAUGGACGAAAGUCUGACCGAGCAACGCCGCGUGAGUGAAGAAGGGUUUCGGAUCGUAAAGCUCUGUUGUAAGAGAAGAACGGGUGUGAGAGUGGAAAGUUCACACUGUGACGGUAUCUUACCAGAAAGGGACGGCUAACUACGUG